rnacentral:rRNA from 1 species
UUUCCGGUUGAUCCUGCCGGACCUGACUGCUAUCGGAUUGAUACUAAGCCAUGCGAGUCUUUGCAGUAAUGCAAGGCAUACGGCUCAGUAACACGUAGUCAACUUACCCUAUGGACGAGGAUAAUCUCGGGAAACUGAGCAUAAUACUCGAUAGAUCAUAAUGCCUGGAAUGGUUUAUGGUUGAAAUGAUUCGUCGCCAUAGGAUGGGACUGCGGCCUAUCAGCUUGUUGGUGAGGUAAUGGCCCACCAAGGCGAUUACAGGUACGGGCUCUGAGAGGAGAAGCCCGGAGAUGGGUACUGAGACAAGGACCCAGGCCCUAUGGGGCGCGGCAGGCGAGAAAACUUUGCAAUGUGCGAAAGCACGACAAGGUUAAUCCGAGUGAUUUCUGCUAAAGAAAUCUUUUGCAAGUCAUAAAACCACUAGUGAAUAAGGGGUGGGCAAGUUCUGGUGUCAGCCGCCGCGGUAAAACCAGCACCUCAAGUGGUCAGGAGGAUUAUUGGGCCUAAAGCAUCCGUAGCCGGCUCUGUAAGUUUUCGGUUAAAUCCAUGUGCUCAACGCAUGGGCUGCCGAAAAUACUGCAUAGCUAGGGAGUGGGAGAGGUAGACGGUACUCGGUAGGAAGGGGUAAAAUCCUUUGAUCUAUCGAUGACCACCUGUGGCGAAGGCGGUCUACCAGAACACGUUCGACGGUGAGGGAUGAAAGCUGGGGGAGCAAACCGGAUUAGAUACCCGGGUAGUCCCAGCUGUAAACGAUGCAGACUCGAUGAUGCAUUGGCAUAUAGCCAGUGCAGUGUCGCAGGGAAGCCGUUAAGUCUGCCGCCUGGGAAGUACGUACGCAAGUAUGAAACUUAAAGGAAUUGGCGGGGGAGCACCACAAGGGGUGAAGCCUGCGGUUCAAUUGGAUUCAACGCCGGGA